rnacentral:rRNA from 1 species
UACGAAGGGGGCUAGCGUUGCUCGGAAUCACUGGGCGUAAAGGGUGCGUAGGCGGGUCUUAAGUCAGGGGUGAAAUCCUGGAGCUCAACUCCAGAACUGCCUUUGAUACUGAAGAUCUUGAGUCCGGGAGAGGUGAGUGGAACUGCGAGUGUAGAGGUGAAAUUCGUAGAUAUUCGGAAGAACACCAGUGGCGAAGGCGGCUCACUGGACCGGUAGUUGACGCUGAGGUGCGGAAAGCGUGGGGAGCAAACAGGG